UACGUAGGGGGCGAGCGUUGUCCGGAAUCAUUGGGCGUAAAGCGCGUGUAGGCGGCCCGGUAAGUCCGCUGUGAAAGUCCAGGGCUCAACCCUGGGAUGCCGGUGGAUACUGUCGGGCUCGAGUCCGGAAGAGGCGAGUGGAAUUCCUGGUGUAGCGGUGAAAUGCGCAGAUAUCAGGAGGAACACCAAUGGCGAAGGCAGCUCGCUGGGACGUGACUGACGCUGAGACGCGAAAGCUAGGGGAGCGAACAGG
rnacentral:rRNA from 1 species